AACGAACGCUGGCGGCAGGCUUAACACAUGCAAGUCGAACGAGAUCUUCGGAUCUAGUGGCAGACGGGUGAGGAACACGUGGGAACAUCCCUUUCAGUUCGGAAUAACGUUGGGAAACUAACGCUAAUAACGGAUACGUCCUUCGGGAGAAAGAUUUAUCGCUGAAAGAUUGGCCCGCGUCUGAUUAGCUAGUUGGUGAGGUAAUGGCUCACCAAGGCUACGAUCAGUAGCUGAUCUGAGAGGAUGAUCAGCCACAUUGGGACUGAGACACGGCCCAAACUCCUACGGAAGGCAGCAGUUGGGAAUAUUGGACAAUGGGCGCAAGCCUGAUCCAGCCAUGCCGCGUGAGUGAUGACGGCCUUCGGGUUGUAAAGCUCUUUUGUCCGGGAAGAUAAUGACUGUACCGGAAGAAUAAGCCCCGGCAAACUUCGUGCCAGCCGCCGCGGUAA
rnacentral:rRNA from 1 species